rnacentral:rRNA from 1 species
GACGAACGCUGGCGGCGUGCUUAACACAUGCAAGUCGAACGGAAAGGCCCUGCUUUUGUGGGGUGCUCGAGUGGCGAACGGGUGAGUAACACGUGAGUAACCUGCCCUUGUCUUUGGGAUAACUUCAGGAAACUGGGGCUAAUACCGGAUAGGAGCUCCUGCUGCAUGGUGGGGGGUGGAAAGUUUCGGCGGUUGGGGAUGGACUCGCGGCUUAUCAGCUUGUUGGUGGGGUAGUGGCUUACCAAGGCUUUGACGGGUAGCCGGCCUGAGAGGGUGACCGGCCACAUUGGGACUGAGAUACGGCCCAGACUCCUACGGGAGGCAGCAGUGGGGAAUAUUGCACAAUGGGCGGAAGCCUGAUGCAGCAACGCCGCGUGCGGGAUGACGGCCUUCGGGUUGUAAACCGCUUUCGCCUGUGACGAAGCGUGAGUGACGGUAAUGGGUAAAGAAGCACCGGCUAACUACGUG